rnacentral:rRNA from 1 species
AGUGAACGCUGGCGGUAGGCCUAACACAUGCAAGUCGAACGGCAGCACAGUAAGAGCUUGCUCUUACGGGUGGCGAGUGGCGGACGGGUGAGGAAUACAUCGGAAUCUACUUUUUCGUGGGGGCUAACGUAGGGAAACUUACGCUAAUACCGCAUACGUCCUACGGGUGAAAGCAGGGGAUCUUCGGACCUUUCGCGAUUGAAUGAGCCGAUGUCGGAUUAGCUAGUUGGCGGGGUAACGGCCCACCAAGGCGACGAUCCGUAGCUGGUCUGAGAGGAUGAUCAGCCACACUGGAAGUGAGACACGGUCCAGACUCCGAGGGGAGGCAGCAGUGGGGAAUAUUGGACAAGGGGCGCAAGCCUGAUCCAGCCAUACCGCGUGGGUGAAGAAGGCCUUCGGGUUGUAAAGCCCUUUUGUUGGGAAAGAAAAGCAGCAGGUUAAUACCCCGCUGUUCUGACGGUACCCAAAGAAUAAGCACCGGCUAACUUCGUG